CGACAUCGUUAAAAUUAUUGUUUGUCAAAAAUAAUGUCUGAAAAUUAAAUUUAUUGCUUGGUUCUCUAUUUUAAACUCUGGACACUUUUCCUGAUAAUUAUAAAGAUAUGAUAGUUACAAAAAUUGUAAGACGUCGGAAGGAAAAUAAUUACUCAUCAAUUAAUCAUUAAUCGUUCGAUUAUUAAUCGCGAGGGUAAUCAAAAUUUGGUGGCUCGAAACGAUUUGAACGCGCAACGAGCAAACACGAUGUUUCGUUCGAUAGUCGAAAGAUUCCUUCCAAUUCUUUUCUCACUGUUCCCUACCUCGAUCGUACCUUUACGAAACACGGGAUUCUACUCAGCUCGCGAGACGAAGCGAACAAACGGCAGGAAAUUUUCUUAUCUUUGCCGCGUGCUUGCUCGCGUGUACUUGGCGAACGGUGUGAAAUUCAAUUAGGGAACGAAGGAUUCCGCGAGGAUCUCUCCAGUGUUAACAUCUCGAUAAUGGAAUUCCACGCGAACGCGAGAGGAAGGAAGGGGGAAUUUGCAGACUGAAUCUUCGAUUUCUGAUUUCUGCUCUGACAAUAAGUCUGUAGAAGCAAAGAACGAAGUAUCGGUAAGAAGUAGCUCGAGUCGAGUUCGUAAAAUUUUCGGCGCAUCGUCGAUAGAGUUAGAGCUACCGGAUCGCUGAGAUAAAUAAAUGAAACCGGAAAAACGGCGAGUUGGCAGCUUCCGCCGCAGCUUCGUCAUCCGAGUCCACCGCGGCAGCCAUUUUCUCGUUCACGUUGAAACUAGUGGCGAUUCAGAACGACGAGCAAGCAAUAAUAAACGAUAAUUGUGUGUGUGUGUGUGUGUGUGUGUCUGUGAACGCGUGUAUGUACGUGCGUAUGUGUGUGUGUGAUAAAUAAAGAAAGCAAACUGUCUCGAAGUCGUCGCGAGGUAGUCGUUCAUAAUCGUUCGUAUAAUGCUAAGAGCGCGGAAGAUCGUAAAACGAGUAAAGAGAAAAAGAGAGCGAGAGAGAGAGAGAGAGAGAGAGAGAAAGAGGAACAAAACGAAACGAAGUGAAGUAACAUGUUUCGCGAGCACGAAUGUACACAAAAGUUUCGCGAAUACGAUGCGUCGCGAAAAGAAAUCCGGGGGGAGACAGACUGUCGUCCCUUUGUUCUUUGUCUGUCUUUCCUUUUCUUCGUUCUCUUUUUUCUGUUUCGCUCCUUUUCCUUUUUCUUUUUUUUUUUUCUUUUUUUUUUUUUUUUUUUUUUUUUUUUUUUUUUUAUUCUUUGCGACAGUCGAGCAGAUCUCCAAGGACAAAACAUACUUUCUAGCGUAGGUAUAUUAAAUGUGUCGCAAUAAAUACGUUAUACGAGGGACGAAGGUUACGAGAUGGCGGUUGAAAGUUUCGUAACGCAGAGGGAGCGUUAGAGAGAGAGGGUGUUUGGAGGGAGUCACGCGUCGAGAAGAAUAAAGUUUCAUCACCAUUAAAUUUACGCGGAAUCAAAGUUCAACGGGUAUGGCGGGAACGUCGGGUAGCGGGAGAAUUACGUCGUUUGAAUUAUGUUUUUUAACGAGUUCGCGCCGUCGUUGCCGCGGCAAGUAAUAACGCGGUCGCGUGACAAAUCGACCGAGCGACUAUCUUAUCUCAUCUCACCGAGAGAUGCCAUCCUUUGAUCAAGGUUGAAACUUUUCAAUGAUACACUUGAAAAAACAAAGUGGCCAGACUGCAGACGUUCGUGCAAAUAAAGCGUUGAAAAAGGGAAAUAGCGUUUCGUCUUGCACAGUGAUAAAUGAAAUUCAUAAACAACGUACAGUCCGCAGUCUAGAUGCAACAAAGCUAAUUCCCAAGCUCUCUGUAUUAUCCUAGAAGCUUCCAAUUAUUCUUCUUCCCCCCCCCCCUCCCCCCUCCCUUUAUACCAAAGCCAGAGAAGGAUUACUUUUAAUUGGAUUUUCACUUCCUUGCCGAUUAGAAUCUUCCUUGCCGCAGAAGAAAAAAAAAAAAAAAUUGACGCCACGCGUACUCUCAUUCGAGCGCUGCAAAACUGAUUGUUAAUUACAGUUAAUUGGACAGUGUCCACUUGAUGCGCAUACACCAACGAGGAGAAUUAAUACUGAAAGGCAGCCGAAAGGAGGACAAGCACCGCUGUUGUGCCUUUUCAUCUUUUCACCGACGAG